rnacentral:rRNA from 1 species
AUUGAACGCUGGCGGCAGGCUUAACACAUGCAAGUCGAGCGAGCGGCGGACGGGUGAGUAAUGUCUGGGAAACUGCCUGAUGGAGGGGGAUAACUACUGGAAACGGUAGCUAAUACCGCAUACCAUCAGAUGUGCCACGAUGGGAUUAGCUGGUAGGGGGGGUAAUGGCUCACCUAGGCGACGAUCCCUAGCUGGUCGGAGAGGAUGACCGGCCCCACUGGAACUGAGAAACGGUCCAUACUCCUACGGGAGGCAGCAGUGGGGAAUAGUGCACAAUGGGCGCAAGCCUGAUGCAGCCAUGCCGCGUGUGUGAAGAAGGCCUUCGGGUUGUAAAGCACUUUCAGCGAGGAGGCGUUACUCGCAGAAGAAGCACCGGCUAACUCCGUGCCAGCCGCCGCGGUAAUAC